UACAGAGGGGGCAAGCGUUAUUCGGAAUUAUUGGGCGUAAAGGGCGCGUAGGCGGCUUGGCAAGUGGAUGGUGAAAUCCCUCGGCUUAACCGAGGAACGGCCGUCCAAACUGCUUCGCUUGAGACCGGGAGAGGUGAGUGGAAUUCCCAGUGUAGCGGUGAAAUGCGUAGAUAUUUGGGAGGAACACCAGUGGCGAAGGCGGCUCACUGGACCGGUACUGACGCUGAAGCGCGGAAAGCGUGGGGGAGCAAACGGGGG
rnacentral:rRNA from 1 species